AGCUAAUAAUAAAAAGCUUCUAACUUUUUUCAAGCAUAACUUAUGUUUUUAGCUU
rnacentral:tRNA from 1 species